rnacentral:rRNA from 1 species
UACGUAGGGGGCAAGCGUUGUCCGGAAUCAUUGGGCGUAAAGAGCGUGUAGGCGGCCCGAUAAGUCCGCUGUGAAAGUCCAGGGCUCAACCCUGGAAUGCCGGUGGAUACUGUCAAGCUCGAGUCCGGAAGAGGAGUGUGGAAUUCCUGGUGUAGCGGUGAAAUGCGCAGAUAUCAGGAGGAACACCAAUGGCGAAGGCAGCACUCUGGGACGUGACUGACGCUGAGACGCGAAAGCGUGGGGAGCAAACAGG